AUGGUUUCUCUCCCAACCCCCCUCAAUUCUUUUCUACCCCCUGAAUUUCCGUUUUUGCCCCUGGGGUUACUGCGGUUUAUACGAAUCGAAAUAAGCUGACAUGCUGAUAAAUUUCGGUAACCACUUACCGAAAUCUGGGACAUUUCUGUUCGCAGGUACCGAAACAAUUAUUUCGGUAAACUUCUACCGAAAAUGGCCUAAUUCCAGCGACCAACGUACCGAAAUCUAGGACAUUUCGGUUCGCAGAUACCGAACAAGCUGACGUUCGUUUUUUGUGUACCGAAAACGCUAAUGUUCGGUUUGCAGUUACCGAAAUGGUCUAAUAUUUGACUUCGGUGAAUACGAACCGAAGUAUUUUGGCAAAAAUGUUUCAAACCGCAAGGGGCAAACUUGGAUUUUUGGGGCGUAAAAAAGAAUUGAGGGGGGUUGGGAGAGAAAC
rnacentral:lncRNA from 1 species